rnacentral:rRNA from 1 species
UACGAAGGGUCCAAGCGUUGUUCGGAUUUAUUGGGCGUAAAGCGCGCGCAGGUGGAUUAGCAAGUCAGGUGUGAAAUCUCGGAGCUUAACUCCGAAACUGCGCCUGAAACUGCUAGUCUAGAAUGUCGGAGGGGGCAGGGGAAUUUCACGUGUAGGGGUAAAAUCCGUAGAGAUGUGAAGGAACACCGGAGGCGAAGGCGCCUGCCUAGACGAUUAUUGACACUGAGGCGCGAAAGCGUGGGGAGCAAACAGG